AACGAACGCUGGCGGCAUGCCUAACACAUGCAAGUCGAACGAGACCUUCGGGUCUAGUGGCGCACGGGUGCGUAACGCGUGGGAACCUGCCCUUAGGUUCGGAAUAACUCCCCGAAAGGGGUGCUAAUACCGGAUAAUGUCUUCGGACCAAAGAUUUAUCGCCUUUGGAUGGGCCCGCGUUGGAUUAGCUAGUUGGUAGGGUAAAAGCCUACCAAGGCGACGAUCCAUAGCUGGUCUGAGAGGAUGAUCAGCGACACUGGGACUGAGACACGGCCCCGACUCCUACGGGAGGCAGCAGUGGGGAAUAUUGGACAAUGGGCGAGAGCCUGAUCCAGCAAUGCCGCGUGAGUGAUGAAGGCCUUAGGGUUGUAAAGCUCUUUUACCCGGGAUGAUAAUGACAGUACCGGGAGAAUAAGCUCCGGCUAACUACGUG
rnacentral:rRNA from 1 species